CAGUCGCCGCGGUAAAACGUAGGGUGCGAGCGUUAAUCGGAAUUACUGGGCGUAAAGCGUGCGUAGGUGGUGGUUUAAGUCCGUUGUGAAAGCCCUGGGCUCAACCUGGGAAUUGCAGUGGAUACUGGGUCACUAGAGUGUGGUAGAGGAUAGUGGAAUUUCCGGUGUAGCAGUGAAAUGCGUAGAGAUCGGAAGGAACAUCUGUGGCGAAGGCGACUAUCUGGGCCAACGUUGACACUGAGGCACGAAAGCGUGGGGAGCAAACAGGAUUAGAUACCCGAGUAGUCCCUGUCUCUUAUAA
rnacentral:rRNA from 1 species